rnacentral:rRNA from 1 species
UACAGAGGUCUCAAGCGUUGUUCGGAUUCAUUGGGCGUAAAGGGUGCGUAGGCGGCGCGGUAAGUCGGGUGUGAAAUCUCGGAGCUUAACUCCGAAACUGCAUUCGAUACUGCCGUGCUUGAGGACUGGAGAGGAGACUGGAAUUUACGGUGUAGCGGUGAAAUGCGUAGAUAUCAGGAGGAACACCGGUGGCGAAGGCGGGUCUCUGGGCAGUAACUGACGCUGAGGAGCGAAAGCGUGGGGAGCAAACAGG